rnacentral:rRNA from 1 species
UACAGAGGUCCCAAGCGUUGUUCGGAUUCAUUGGGCGUAAAGGGUGCGUAGGCGGCGCGGUAAGUCGGGUGUGAAAUCUCGGGGCUUAACUCCGAAACUGCAUUCGAUACUGCCGUGCUUGAGGACUGGAGAGGAGACUGGAAUUUACGGUGUAGCGGUGAAAUGCGUAGAUAUCGUAAGGAAGACCAGUGGCGAAGGCGGGUCUCUGGACAGUUCUUGACGCUGAGGCACGAAGGUCAGGGGAGCAAACGGG